rnacentral:misc_RNA from 1 species
GUUGGCUGGUGUUGUUGCUGUUGAGGUUACUGGAGGGCCUGAAGUUCCUUUCCACCCUGGUAGAGAGGACAAACCCGAACCCCCCCCAGAAGGUCGCUUGCCUGACGCCACUAAGGGUUCUGAUCAUCUGAGGGAUGUUUUCUACACCAUGGGUCUCUCGGACCAGGACAUUGUUGCCCUCUCUGGCGGUCACACAUUGGGUAGGGCACACAAAGAACGAUCUGGUUUUGAGGGGCCGUGGACUUCCAACCCUCUCAUCUUUGAUAAUUCAUACUUCACUGAACUCUUGAGCGGGGAGAAGGAAGGCCUUCUGCAGUUGGCAUCAGACAAGGCACUUCUGUCUGAUCCCGUCUUCCGCCCCCUUGUUGAAAAAUAUGCUGCGGAUGAGGAUGCUUUCUUUGCUGACUAUGCUGAAGCUCACCAGAAGCUUUCUGAGUUAGGUUUUGCUGAUGCUUGAGCAAUUGGAACGGGGGAAAAUGAGGCUGCAGGCUGUUGUUUUUUAUGUUAGCUUUGAUUUGUAAUGAAAUGGGAAGGUUAGAUUGGGUUACUGUUGUUUUUGGACAGUUGGUUUGAAUUUGGGCUGUCUUGUUGGGAAGACUUUGGGCAGAAUGUAAUAUUCAUCUCCCAGCCUCUUUGGACUUGAAUAAUGUUGCUUUAAAAUUUAUCAUUUUGGUGUUUUUUAGGCAUAAUCCAAUCAACAUCAAAAAUGUUACUGAGCACUAAAUACAGUUGAGUUAUG